CAGCCGCCGCGGGAAUACGUAGGGUGCAAGCGUUAUCCGGAAUUAUUGGGCGUAAAGAGCUCGUAGGCGGUUUGUCGCGUCUGUCGUGAAAGUCCGGGGCUCAACUCCGGAUCUGCGGUGGGUACGGGCAGACUAGAGUGAUGUAGGGGAGACUGGAAUUCCUGGUGUAGCGGUGGAAUGCGCAGAUAUCAGGAGGAACACCGAUGGCGAAGGCAGGUCUCUGGGCAUUAACUGACGCUGAGGAGCGAAAGCAUGGGGAGCGAACAGGAUUAGAUACCCGGGUAGUCCCUGUCUCUUAUAC
rnacentral:rRNA from 1 species